UAGCACAAGAGGAUAGCUCAUUUUCCGUAACUGCUAUGAAAGAUAAAAUUUUAUUUUAGUUAUUAUAUAGUAGCAUUGAAACAACGCUAAGAUAGAACAUCACUAAGCGGAAAGCUAAAAUCAUUUAUUCCGCUAAUAUUUAGCCCAAAAUAUUUAGUUAAGCGCCGACACUUGUGAAAAAAACUAACAUUUCUCUUUACAUUAGGACAGCUCACGAGACCAAAAAAAAAAAAAAACUUUUACCGAAAGAAAAAAAAACAGCUCUCGAGAGCAACCAUCUUCUCCUCCAUCUACCUCGGUGUCUUUUAUCUAUUCCUCCACCGUCUCCGCCGCUAUAGCUGAACCGUCUCCCCCACCCUCCUCUCUCUCAGUCACCUCCUCCCUCUCAGCCACCUUUCCUCCGACCAAGCUCACCCAAACCCUAAAUCGGCUUUUUACAAUCAAAAUUCUUCAUUGUUCUUCUCCUUUAUAUAUUGAAAGUUUCUUUAGGUUUGGAUUUCUCUAUAUCAGAACAAAAAGAGAAGCUGGUUUCGUUCAGAGAAGGAGACAGUAGCUAGAAGACC